AGCAGUAGCCGCGGUAAUACGUAGGUCCCGAGCGUUGUCCGGAUUUAUUGGGCGUAAAGGGAGCGCAGGCGGUUUAGUAAGUCUGAAGUUAAAGGCAUUGGCUCAACCAAUGUAUGCUUUGGAAACUGUUAGACUUGAGUGCAGAAGGGGAGAGUGGAAUUCCAUGUGUAGCGGUGAAAUGCGUAGAUAUAUGGAGGAACACCGGUGGCGAAAGCGGCUCUCUGGUCUGUCACUGACGCUGAGGCUCGAAAGCGUGGGUAGCGAACAGGAUUAGAUACCCCCGUAGUCCCUGUCUCUUAUACC
rnacentral:rRNA from 1 species